CCUCUAGAAGGCAUUGCACCCUAUCAUUCAGUAAUCAAUAGUAUCCCUCUCAUUUUGUUCUCUCUUUUCAGUUGAAGAUUCACUGUUGUCACAAGGACAAUGAGGAAAGAAAGGACAGUAUGGAUCCUCUGGAACUAUAAUGGAUGUGCGAGUGAGCAGCCUGGCAAGAAUCAUUUUCAAGCACCCAGCUUCCCAGUGCCAGGGACCUCUCCCAUCAACAGCCUAUGGCUAUGAAUUCUUUAUCCCUGUGAGCUUGGCUGCCAUAUGUGAUUCGGACAGAAGAUGGAGAGAAGCCCCAGGCUGCGGUGGCAGGUGUGCGCUUCCAGGGAGUACGGUGUUUGAAGCCGGAGGGACUGCUGUGGCCUGUGUUUUCAGGACAGCAAGCCUGCGUCCUGGGUGGCACUGGAGGAUGGAGACAAGCAGGAAGGAGACCACAUGCUUGUUGUUCAAGGAUCCUGUUCAUGGGCCCGAGGAGCUCUGCCAUUAAGCAGUGAGCUUCCUGCCUCCUUCUCACUGUCUACGUUGGACAUGACUGAAGUAGAAGCUUCUGGAAGCAGAUGGAAGCUCGCUGCCUCAUGAUGGUUAAUACUUAAUAGUCCAGUGACCUACCCUAGGCAAGUCUAAAUGGUUACAUCACAAGCAUCAAACUGAAGUGACUAUAUUUAACCCAGUAUUCUGAGAAAGAGGAACCAGAAACUGCUGUCUGGCACACUCCCCAGCUAUAAGCCCUAUAAAGAAAAGAAAUGAAGCUUGGGUGGCAGCUGAAGCUUAAUUCCUAGAACAUCUUCCCGCUUUGUGAACACCACCUCAGAAGAUGAUCACAACAGCAUCCCAACACUCACUGUCAUGGAAACGCCAUGGACCAGCCAGUCAAGCAUUUCAGCUGAAACCGAUUCCAGCCAUCUCAGCGCUUCCUCCCGAGA